rnacentral:rRNA from 1 species
AGUGAACGCUGGCGGUAGGCCUAACACAUGCAAGUCGAACGGCAGCACAGUAAGAGCUUGCUCUUACGGGUGGCGAGUGGCGGACGGGUGAGGAAUACAUCGGAAUCUACUUUUUCGUGGGGGAUAACGUAGGGAAACUUACGCUAAUACCACAUACGACCUACGGGUGAAAGCAGGGGAUCUUCGGACCUUGCGCGAUUGAAUGAGCCGAUGUCGGAUUAGCUAGUUGGCGGGGUAAAGGCCCACCAAGGCGACGAUCCGUAGCUGGUCUGAGAGGAUGAUCAGCCACACUGGAACUGAGACACGGUCCAGACUCCUACGGGAGGCAGCAGUGGGGAAUAUUGGACAAUGGGCGCAAGCCUGAUCCAGCCAUACCGCGUGGGUGAAGAAGGCCUUCGGGUUGUAAAGCCCUUUUGUUGGGAAAGAAAAGCAGCAGGUUAAUACCCCGCUGUUCUGACGGUACCCAAAGAAUAGGCACCGGCUAACUUCGUG